GCACUCAUAGCUCAACUGGAUAGAGCACAUGGCUACGAACCAUGAGGUUGUGGAUUCGAUUUCUUCUGAGUGCGCCA
rnacentral:tRNA from 1 species